rnacentral:rRNA from 1 species
UACGUAGGGGGCUAGCGUUGUCCGGAAUCAUUGGGCGUAAAGCGCGUGUAGGCGGCCCGGUAAGUCCGCUCUGAAAGUCCAGGGCUUAACCCUGGAAAGCGGGUGGAUACUGCCGGGCUUGAAUCCGGAAGAGGCGAGUGGAAUUCCUGGUGUAGCGGUGGAAUGCGCAGAUAUCAGGAGGAACACCAAUAGCGAAGGCAGCUCGCUGGGACGGUAUUGACGCUAAGGCGCGAAAGCGUGGGGAGCAAACAGG